rnacentral:rRNA from 1 species
CAGUAGCCGCGGGAAUACGUAGGUGGCAAGCGUUGUCCGGAAUUAUUGGGCGUAAAGGGCUCGCAGGCGGUUUCUUAAGUCUGAUGUGAAAGCCCCCGGCUCAACCGGGGAGGGUCAUUGGAAACUGGGAAACUUGAGUGCAGAAGAGGAGAGUGGAAUUCCACGUGUGGCGGUGAAAUGCGUAGAGAUGUGGAGGAACACCAGUGGCGAAGGCGACUCUCUGGUCUGUAACUGACGCUGAGGAGCGAAAGCGUGGGGAGCGAACAGGAUUAGAUACCCCUGUAGUCCCUGUCUCUUAUAC